GUAGCUCAACUGGAUAGAGCAUCGGUCUUCGGAACCGAAGGUUGAGGGUUCGAGCCCCAUC
rnacentral:tRNA from 1 species